GCCUGGGUGGCUCAGUUGGUUAAGCGUCUAACUUCAGCUCAGGUCAUGAUCUCGCAGUUUGUGAGUUCAAGUCCCACAUCAGGCU
rnacentral:tRNA from 1 species